rnacentral:rRNA from 1 species
GAUGAACGCUGGCGGCGUGCCUAACACAUGCAAGUCGAGCGAAUAGACUAGGAGCGUGCUUCUCUUUCGCUAGCGGCGGAUGGGUGAGUCACACGCGGAUAACCUCCCUGUAAGACUUAGAUAACUGCGGGAAAGCUGAGUACAUCCCAGAUAAUUUGUUUAACCUCAUGCUUCAAUUAAAAAAGCCGUCCUUUCUGAGAUGUAUCCGUGGAUCCUUGCCUCGUUAGCUAGGUGGUGAGUCACCGGCUUAACAAGGCAACGAUGCGUAGCCGACCUGAUAGGGUGAGCGGCCUCGCUGGAACUGAGACGCGAUCCAGAAUCCUACGGGAGGCAGCAGUAGCGGAUCUUUAGGGAUGGGCGAAAGCGUGAAGGAGCAACGCCGCGUGAAUGAUGAAGGCCUUCGGGUCGUAAAACUCUGUUAUGAGGGAAGAACGAAAGUGUAAGUAACCAUGCACGUCUUGACGGUAACUAAACAGAAAACCAAGGCUAACUACGUG